GACGAACGCUGGCGGCGUGCUUAACACAUGCAAGUCGAACGGAAAGGCCCUGCUGUUGUGGGGUGCUCGAGUGGCGAACGGGUGAGUAACACGUGAGUAACCUGCCCUUGACUUUGGGAUAACUUCAGGAAACUGGGGCUAAUACCGGAUAGGAGCUCCUGCUGCAUGGUGGGGGUUGGAAAGUUUCGGCGGUUGGGGAUGGACUCGCGGUUUAUCAGCUUGUUGGUGGGGUAGUGGCUUACCAAGGCUUUGACGGGUAGCCGGACUGAGAGGGUGACCGGCUACAUUGGGACUGAGAUACGGCCCAGACUCAUACGGGAGGCAGCGGUGGGGAAGAUUGCACAAGGGGCGGAAGCCUGAUGCAGCAACGCCGCGUGCGGGAUGAUGGCCUUCGGGUUGUAAACCGCUUUCGCCUGUGACGAAGCGUGAGUGACGGUAAUGGGUAAAGAAGCUCCGGCUAACUACGUG
rnacentral:rRNA from 1 species